GGGUUGUGAGGUUAAGCGACUAAGCGUACACGGUGGAUGCCCUGGCAGUCAGAGGCGAUGAAGGGCGUGCUAAUCUGCGAUAAGCGCCGGUAAGGUGAUAUGAACCGUUAUAACCGGCGAUACCCGAAUGGGGAAACCCAGUGUGACUCGUCACACUAUCAUUAACUGAAUCCAUAGGUUAAUGAGGCGAACCGGGGGAACUGAAACAUCUAAGUACCCCGAGGAAAAGAAAUCAACCGAGAUUCCCCCAGUAGCGGCGAGCGAACGGGGAGGAGCCCAGAGCCUGAAUCAGCAUGUGUGUUAGUGGAAGCGUCUGGAAAGGCGCGCGAUACAGGGUGACAGCCCCGUACACAAAAGCGCAUGUGCUGUGAGCUCGAUGAGUAGGGCGGGACACGUGGUAUCCUGUCUGAAUAUGGGGGGACCAUCCUCCAAGGCUAAAUACUCCUGACUGACCGAUAGUGAACCAGUACCGUGAGGGAAAGGCGAAAAGAACCCCGGCGAGGGGAGUGAAAAAGAACCUGAAACCGUGUACGUACAAGCAGUGGGAGCACCCUUCGGGGUGUGACUGCGUACCUUUUGUAUAAUGGGUCAGCGACUUAUAUUCUGUAGCAAGGUUAACCGAAUAGGGGAGCCGGAGGGAAACCGAGUCUUAAUUGGGCGUUAAGUUGCAGGGU
rnacentral:rRNA from 1 species